rnacentral:lncRNA from 1 species
GGAUGUUAGGGCGAUCUGGUUGCGACAUCUGUCACCCCAUUGAUCGCCAGGGUUGAUUCGGCUGAUCUGGCUGGCUAGGCGGGUGUCCCCUUCCUCCCUCACCGCUCCAUGUGCGUCCCUCCCGAAGCUGCGCGCUCGGUCGAAGAGGACGACCAUCCCCGAUAGAGGAGGACCGGUCUUCAGUCAAGGGUAUACGAGUAGCUGCGCUGCGCUCCCCUGCUAGAACCUCCAAACAAGCUCUCAAAG